rnacentral:rRNA from 1 species
UACGGAGGAUCCAAGCGUUAUCCGGAUUUAUUGGGUUUAAAGGGUGCGUAGGCGGCCUUGUAAGUCAGGGGUGAAAGACGGUAGCUCAACUAUCGCAGUGCCCUUGAUACUGCAGGGCUUGAAUACACUAGAGGUAGGCGGAAUGCGACAAGUAGCGGUGAAAUGCAUAGAUAUGUCACAGAACACCGAUUGCGAAGGCAGCUUACUAUGGUGCAAUUGACGCUGAGGCACGAAAGCGUGGGGAUCAAACAGG